UGGGGAAUAUUGCGCAAUGGGCGCAAGCCUGACGCAGCGACGCCGCGUGUGGGAUGACGGCCUUCGGGUUGUAACCACUGUCGGGAGGGACGAAUGCCCCGCAAGGGGAGUGACGGUACCUCCAAAGGAAGCACCGGCUAACUCCGUGCCAGCAGCCGCGGUAAUACGGAGGGUGCGAGCGUUGUCCGGAAUCACUGGGCGUAAAGGGCGCGUAGGCGGCCUGAUAAGUAGGGGGUGAAAUCCUGCGGCUCAACCGCAGGGCUGCCUUCUAAACUGUCAGGCUCGAGCACAGUAGAGGCAGGUGGAAUUCCCGGUGUAGCGGUGGAAUGCGUAGAGAUCGGGAAGACAUCAGUGGCGAAGGCGGCCUGCUGGGCUGUUGCUGACGCUGAGGCGCGACAGCGUGGGGAGCAAACAGGAUUAGAUACCCUGGUAGUCCACGCCGUAAACGAUGGGCACUAGGCGUCGGGGGGAGCGACCCCCCGGUGCCGUCGCUAAC
rnacentral:rRNA from 1 species